rnacentral:rRNA from 1 species
CCUACGGGAGGCAGCAGUAGGGAAUAUUGCUCAAUGGGGGAAACCCUGACGCAGCAACGCCGCGUGGAGGAUGAAGGUUUUCGGAUCGUAAACUCCUUUUGUUAGAGAAGAUAAUGACGGUAUCUAACGAAUAAGCACCGGCUAACUCCGUGCCAGCAGCCGCGGUAAUACGGAGGGUGCAAGCGUUACUCGGAAUCACUGGGAGUAAAGAGCGCGUAGGCGGGAUAGCAAGUCAGAUGUGAAAUCCUAUGGCUUAACCAUAGAACUGCAUUUGAAACUGUUAUUCUAGAGUAUGGGAGAGGUAGGUGGAAUUCUUGGUGUAGGGGUAAAAUCCGUAGAGAUCAAGAGGAAUACUCAUUGCGAAGGCGACCUGCUAGAACAUAACUGACGCUGAGGCGCGAAAGCGUGGGGAGCAAACAGGAUUAGAUACCCUUGUAGUC